rnacentral:rRNA from 1 species
AGUGAACGCUGGCGGUAGGCCUAACACAUGCAAGUCGAACGGCAGCACAGUAAGAGCUUGCUCUUACGGGUGGCGAGUGGCGGACGGGUGAGGAAUACAUCGGAGUCUACUUUUUCGUGGGGGAUAACGUAGGGAAACUUACGCUAAUACCGCAUACGACCUACGGGUGAAAGCAGGGGAUCUUCGGACCUUGCGCGAUUGAAUGAGCCGAUGUCGGAUUAGCUAGUUGGCGGGGUAAAGGCCCACCAAGGCGACGAUCCGUAGCUGGUCUGAGAGGAUGAUCAGCCACACUGGAACUGAGACACGGUCCAGACUCCUACGGGAGGCAGCAGUGGGGAAUAUUGGACAAUGGGCGCAAGCCUGAUCCAGCCAUACCGCGUGGGUGAAGAAGGCCUUCGGGUUGUAAAGCCCUUUUGUUGGGAAAGAAAAGCAGCAGGUUAAUACCCCGCUGUUCUGACGGUGCCCAAAGAAUAAGCACCGGCUAACUUCGUG